UUAUCAUCGAAGAAUACAAUGUGGAGCUGUACUUAUGGGGCUCAGGCUCAUAGACUCUGAGGUCUGGAAGUUGAAAAUGACUUACAAGUCAAUUUUAAGCACCUUUACAAAUGAGCCUUGGGUUACAGGAUUGUUUUUUGUAUUUAUGCUGAUUUUGUGUGUAUUCAGUGUGCAAACCUAACCUUUCUUAUAUUCUUUAAAAAGGAGCUGUGAUGUGAGUCAAUUCAAUUUACUAAGCAUCAGAGCGUCCUGUUAUCUAGCAUGACAGUCACAAAGGGGAAUGAAGCAAGGGCUCUGCCUUAAAAGGAGAUCUUUAAUCAGAAAUGAUAGUAAUACACUGUGAGAUUGAAAUAACAAGAGUAGGCACAGGGUUUUUUGCACACAAAGAGAAGAGUGGAAAAAUCUUGUGAGCGGAAAUAAUAAAAACUUAUUACUUUAGGAGUUUAAUGGAUCUGAAAAAAAAAAAAAAAAACAGUCUUUGAGGAAAAACCAGGAGCUGACAUUAUGUGAGAUUUCAAGGAUACCCAAAAGCUCACUUGAGUAGAGUCUUGUUUGGGACUCAGCAUACUGAGUGGGGUAAGCUGUAAAGAGGCCAGACCCUAAAGGACCUUAGAUACCAUAUGCUGAAGAUUGGGAGGACGUUUGGGAGAAGCGGGAAUGACAAGUAAGCUUGGGAGCCAUGGUGUGCCGAGCUCACCAGUGGAGCACAGUUUGCACGCCAUGCAGCAUGCCAGCUUCGGAAGAUUUUCUCACUAUGGACAUCAGACAACCUCCACUGAAUCCUAACCAGAACCUAUGAGGCUACUGAAAAGUUGUGCGAUCCUGCAUAACUUCUGUCACGCCUGAAAACCUCAGGACACUGAACUUCUCAUCUGGAAAAAAAUAAAACUUUUUACCUAUAAAGUUGGGAGGAUUAAUUAAGACAGUACAUGUACUGUAUAAUAUUUAACCCAGGGUCUUGUGUAUACC
rnacentral:lncRNA from 1 species